rnacentral:rRNA from 1 species
UACGGGGGGAGCAAGCGUUGUUCGGAUUUACUGGGCGUAAAGGGCGCGUAGGCGGCGUGACAAGUCACUUGUGAAAUCUCCGGGCUUAACUCGGAACGGUCAGCCGAUACUGCGGGGCUAGAGUGCAGAAGGGGCAACUGGAAUUCUCGGUGUAGCGGUGAAAUGCGUAGAUAUCGAGAGGAACACCUGCGGCGAAGGCGGGUUGCUGGGCUGACACUGACGCUGAGGCGCGAAAGCCAGGGGAGCGAACGGG